GUGUGAAUAUGUCUAUGAACAGAGCUCUCUUGUCAGAGACACUCACUCCUGACGCCUUACACUAUCACAUCUGAAACAUACAGCCUUAAAAAAGCAGGACGCGCGAUCACGAGAAUGUUUAGCAGAGCGCUGUUUAUCAUCGUCUGUCUUCGUCUCUUAGGUGCAGGCAUUGGACAAGAUAAACCGUGUGAACUAGUUGAAUGUUUUAACUGUUCUCAACCUAUAGGAAUAAAUACAUCACAAGCAUGUCCACUGUGCCAGAACACAUCAAAAAACUGC